rnacentral:rRNA from 1 species
GUACACACCGCCCGUCAAGCCACGAAAGGAAGGAGCGCCCGAAGUCGCCGUGCCAACCGCAAGGGGGCAAGCGCCGACGGCGAGACUCCUGAUUGGGACUAAGUCGUAACAAGGUAACCGUAGGUGAACCUGCAGAAGGAUCA